rnacentral:misc_RNA from 1 species
GAAGAAAGAACAACAUUUGUAAACGUAGGUGAAUGAACAAAUGUAUUAUGUACUACGUAUAAUGCCAACAAGCUAUUUAUUUUUGCCUUAUAUAUCUUGGUGCAAUGUUUUGUGUUGAUAAUGGUCUUCACAGUAGCUUAUGGCAAUGGACAAUGCCCUUCUAGGAUAACGUAAUUAGUAGCAUAAGGCUGACAAACACAUUCAUUAUAAUCACGGUCCACAUUGGGAAGUCUGUCACAAUUUGCAGGAACCCAGCCGAUCUGAUGAUUACCAUUGUCAUAUAUCACCAGUUUAU